rnacentral:rRNA from 1 species
CCUACGGGAGGCAGCAGUGGGGAAUAUUGGACAAUGGGCGAAAGCCUGAUCCAGCAAUGCCGCGUGAGUGAUGAAGGCCUUAGGGUUGUAAAGCUCUGUUGUUAGGGAAGAACAAGUACCGUUCGAAUAGGGCGGUACCUUGACGGUACCUAAUCAGUGCUACCGCGGCUGCUGGCACGUAGUUAGCCGGUGCUUCCUUUGAGGGUACCGUCAAGAGUCGCCUGGAUAUUAGCCAGGCAACUUUUCUUCCCCUCCGACAGGGCUUUACGCCG